rnacentral:rRNA from 1 species
CCUACGGGAGGCAGCAGUGAGGAAUAUUGGUCAAUGGGCGUAAGCCUGAACCAGCCAAGUCGCGUGAGGGAUUAAGGUUCUAUGGGUCGUAAACCUCUUUUAUCAGGGAGUAAAGUGUGGGACGUGUCCUAUUUUGUAUGUACCUUAUGAAUAAGGAUCGGCUAACUCCGUGCCAGCCGCCGCGGUAAUACGGAGGAUCCGAGCGUUAUCCGGGUUUAUUGGGUUUAAAGGGUGCGUAGGCGGCCUUUUAAGUCAGCGGUGAAAGUCUGUGGCUCAACCCUAGACGUGCCGUUGAAACUGGGGGGCUUGAGUAUGUUUGAGGCAGGCGGAAUGCGUGGUGUAGCGGUGAAAUGCUUAGAUAUCACGCAGAACCCCGAUUGCGAAGGCAGCCUGCCAAGCCACGACUGACGCUGAGGCACGAAAGCGUGGGGAUCAAACAGGAUUAGAUACCCUUGUAGUC